CCCUUAGAUGUUCUGGGCUGCACGCGCGCUACACUGAUGCGAUCAACAAGUUUUUCCUAUGUCGAUAGACACGGGUAAUCUUUUGAACUCGCAUCGUGAUGGGGAUAGAUUAUUGUAAUUAUUAAUCUUCAACGAGGAAUUCCUAGUAGGUGCAAAUCAUCAGUUUGCAUCGAUUACGUCCCUGCCCUUUGUACACACCGCCCGCCGCUGCUACCGAUUGGUUGAUCUGGUGAAUUAUUCGGACUGCCGGCUGAAGGGGUUUCCUCAUCUGCCAGCGGAAAGUCUUGUUAACCCUAUCAACUAGAGGAAGCAGAAGUCGUAACA
rnacentral:rRNA from 1 species